rnacentral:rRNA from 1 species
AACGAACGCUGGCGGCAGGCUUAACGCAUGCAAGUCGAGCGCCCCGCAAGGGGAGCGGCAGACGGGUGAGUAACGCGUGGGAACGUACCUUUUGGUUCGGAACAACUCCGGGAAACUGGAGCUAAUACCGGAUAAGCCCUAACGGGGAAAGAUUUAUCGCCGAAAGAUCGGCCCGCGUCUGAUUAGCUAGUUGGUGAGGUAACGGCUCACCAAGGCGACGAUCAGUAGCUGGUCUGAGAGGAUGAUCAGCCACACUGGGACUGAGACACGGCCCAGACUCCUACGGGAGGCAGCAGUGGGGAAUAUUGGACAAUGGGCGCAAGCCUGAUCCAGCCAUGCCGCGUGAGUGAUGAAGGCCUUAGGGUUGUAAAGCUCUUUUGUCCGGGAAGAUAAUGACUGUACCGGAAGAAUAAGCCCCGGCUAACUUCGUG